rnacentral:rRNA from 1 species
AUUGAACGCUGGCGGCAGGCCUAACACAUGCAAGUCGAAUGGUAACAGGAAGAAGCUUGCUUCUUUGCUGACGAGUGGCGGCCGGGUGAGUAAUGUCUGGGAAACUGCCUGAUGGAGGGGGAUAACUACUGGAAACGGUAGCUAAUACCGCAUAACGUCGCAAGACCAAAGGGGGGGACCUUCGGGCCUCUUGCCAUCGGAUGUGCCCAGAUGGGAUUAGCUAGUAGGUGGGGUAACGGCUCACCUAGGCGACGAUCCCUAGCUGGUCUGAGAGGAUGACCAGCCACACUGGAACUGAGACACGGUCCAGACUCCUACGGGAGGCAGCAGUGGGGAAUAUUGCACAAUGGGCGCAAGCCUGAUGCAGCCAUGCCGCGUGUAUGAAGAAGGCCUUCGGGUUGUAAAGUACUUUCAGCGGGGAGGAAGGGAGUAAAGUUAAUACCUUUGCUCAUUGACGUUACCCGCAGAAGAAGCACCGGCUAACUCCGUG